ACUACGGGCGGCAGCAGUAGGGAAUUUUCGGCAAUGGGGGGAACCCUGACCGAGCAACGCCGCGUGAACGAAGAAGUUAUUCGUAAUGUAAAGUUCUUUUAACAGGGAAGAAAGAGAAAUUUGACGGUACCUGAAGAAUAAGCUCCGGCUAACUACGUACAAGCAGCCGCGGUAAUACGUGGGGAGCGAGCGUUAUCCGGAUUUAUUGGGCGUAAAGGGUGCGUAGAGGGAUUAGUAAGUCUUUGGUAAAAAGCUGGGGCUAACCCAAGAGGGCAAAAGAUACUGCAAAGCUAGAGUAUGACAGAGGCAAGUGGAACUACAUGUGUAGCGGUAAAAUGCGUAAAUAUAUGUAAGAACACCAGUGGCGAAGGCGGCUUGCUGGGUCGAUACUGACAUUGAGGCACGAAAGCGUGGGGAGCAAACAGGAUUAGAUACCCGUGUAGUC
rnacentral:rRNA from 1 species